rnacentral:rRNA from 1 species
CGCGACCUACGGGGGGCAGCAGUGAGGAAUAUUGGUCAAUGGGCUUACGCCUGAACCAGCCACGUCGCGUGAGGGAAGACUGCCCUAUGGGUUGUAAACCUCUUUUGUCGGAGAACAAAACCCGGGACGUGUCCCGGACUGCGUGUAUCCGAAGAAAAAGCAUCGGCUAACUCCGUGCCAGCAGCCGCGGUAAUACGGAGGAUGCGAGCGUUAUCCGGAUUUAUUGGGUUUAAAGGGUGCGUAGGCGGUCCGUUAAGUCAGCGGUAAAAUUGCGGGGCUCAACCCUGUCGAGCCGUUGAAACUGG